rnacentral:rRNA from 1 species
UACGUAGGUUGCAAGCGUUGUCCGGAUUUACUGGGCGUAAAGAGCGCGCAGGCGGUCGUUCAAGUCGCGUGUGAAAGCCCCCGGCUCAACUGGGGAGGGUCACGCGAUACUGAUCGACUCGAAGGCAGGAGAGGGAAGUGGAAUUCCCGGUGUAGUGGUGAAAUGCGUAGAGAUCCGGAGGAACACCGAAGGCGAAGGCAGUGUCCUGGCGAGUGACUGACGCUGAGGUGCGAAAGCCAGGGGAGCGAACGGG